rnacentral:rRNA from 1 species
GAUGAACGCUGGCGGCGUGCCUAAUACAUGCAAGUCGAGCGAACGGACGAGAAGCUUGCUUCUCUGAUGUUAGCGGCGGACGGGUGAGUAACACGUGGAUAACCUACCUAUAAGACUGGGAUAACUUCGGGAAACCGGGGCUAAUACCGGAUAAUAUUUUGAACCGCAUGGUUCAAAAGUGAAUGACGGUCUUGCUGUCACUUAUAGCUGGAUCCGCGCUGCAUUAGCUAGUUGGUAAGGUAACGGCUUACCAAGGCAACGAUGCAUAGCCGACCUGAGAGGGUGAUCGGCCACACUGGAACUGAGACACGGUCCAGACUCCUACGGGAGGCAGCAGUAGGGAAUCUUCCGCAAUGGGCGAAAGCCUGACGGAGCAACACCGCGUGAGUGAUGAAGGUCUUCGGAUCGUAAAACUCUGUUAUUAGGGAAGAACAUAUGUGUAAGUAACUGUGCACAUCUUGACGGUACCUAAUCAGAAAGCCACGGCUAACUACGUG